GACGAACGCUGGCGGCGUGCUUAACACAUGCAAGUCGUACGGUAAGGCCCUUUCGGGGGUACACGAGUGGCGAACGGGUGAGUAACACGUGAGUAACCUGCCCACAACUUUGGGAUAACGCUAGGAAACUGGUGCUAAUACUGGAUAUGUGCUCCUGCUGCAUGGUGGGGGUUGGAAAGCUCCGGCGGUUGUGGAUGGACUGGCGGCCUAUCAGCUUGUUGGUGGGGUAGUGGCCUACCAAGGCGGCGGCGGGUAGCCGGCCUGUGAGGGUGACCGGCCACAUUGGGACUGAGAUACGGCCCAGGCACCUACGGGAGGCAGCAGUGGGGAAUAUUGCACGAUGGGCGCAAGCCUGAUGCAGAAACGCCGCGGGCGGGAUGACGGCCUUCGGGUUGUAAACCGCUUUCAGCAGGGACGAAGCUUGUUGUGACGGUACCUGCAGAAGAAGCACCGGCUAACUACGUG
rnacentral:rRNA from 1 species